UGGGGACUUUGUUUUUUGUGUAUCUUUAUGGUUCAUAUCUACACAUUGAGACCAUCAACUAAUCAGGUGCUACCUGUAAGUGUAAUUUGGGCUCUAAUCGUAGAUAUAUGACAGGCUUUUCAAUAUGUAAAGCCUUAAAUCAGUACUGUUCACCAACUUAUUUUCCCUAAGCUUAAUAUUGCGUUAAGCCCUUCCUUAUCCA
rnacentral:lncRNA from 1 species